rnacentral:misc_RNA from 1 species
AAUGCAUAUUGCGCCUGGUGCCCCUUUUGGUGGCUCCAGACAUGUCUGCCUCAGCGUCAUGUUGGACCCUUGGACUCCUACUACUACUAAAGUAGUAGGCAAUCCAGAUCUGGCUGUCUCAGCCUGCCUGCUUGCUUGUAAGCAAGUCAAGCAUUGGGCUGGGUCUGCUGAAGUACAGAGACUCCUGUACAAACAAGGACCCAUACCAAAGGGACAAUAGCUGGUUAGGCUUUAUCUUAUUGAAGCUACUUGCUAGUGGCCUGGGUGUACUGUUUCAAGUUGCUUGCUCCUUUACCAAGGUAAAGUCAAGUAAGAGGGGAGUCUACAGGAAAAACUUUUAAUUUUUGACCUGAGUUCAGGCAAGACUACCCGCUGAACUUAA